ACUAUAAGAACAGUUUAUGCUGCUGGAUAACCUGGUUGAGCAUCAAGAAAUCAAUGAUGAGCUCCAAAGUCUUGAUGACUUACUUCAAGAGCUGCAGGGAGAGGAGGAAGCAGCACCAGUAAAAACACCUGAACCAAGGGUACAUUGGAGAAAAAGAGACAGUGAUGGAAACAUUGUCUAUGCAAGACCAAGAUCAAGCAGGAAUCAGUCAAACGAGGCUGAUCACAUUCGGAAAACUGAUCCUCACAUCAAUGCUCCUGACACUAACUGUGAGGUGAUCUUUUCUCCAGAGACUCUUGAGUGUUUCAUGCAAGAUCUCUAGCACUCACUGAGCGAUUCUUUAGAUGAUGAUGCAUCAGCUCUUGGAACCUCAAGAGAUCCUCUCAUAGUUUCCUCAAACUGGAGCACAAGACAAAGUCUCAUUUCAGAGAAGUAGAGGGCAGAGAGACCCCGCCUGGUGAACACGGCUGUGGCACGAGAAAAUGUGGUAACACACAUCUGCCAACUGUGUGGAAGCAAUCCAGCUGCUGUCCGGUGUUGUGACUGUCGACCACGCCCCUUCUUUUGUGCUGAAUGUGAUGUCAUCAUGCACACCAGACAUGUUCUCCUGGAUUCUACCAGCCAUUGCCUCCAACAACUUGUGUUGUAGACAAGGCUCUUUCCC